AUUGAACGCUGGCGGCAUGCCUUACACAUGCAAGUCGAACGGCAGCACGGGGGCUUGCACCUGGUGGCGAGUGGCGAACGGGUGAGUAAUACAUCGGAACAUGUCCUGUAGCGGGGGAUAGCCCGGCGAAAGCCGGAGUAAUACCGCAUACGAACUACGGAUGACAGCGGGGGACCUUCGGGCCUCGCGCUAUAGGGUCGGCCGACGGCUGAUUAGCUAGUUGGUGGGGUAAAGGCCUACCAAGGCGGCGAGCAGUAGCUGAUCUGAGAGGGCGAUCGGCCACACUGGAACUGAGACACGGCCCAGACUCCUACGGGAGGCAGCAGUGGGGUAUUUUGGGCAAUGGGCGAAAGCCUGAUCCAGCAAUGCCGCGUGUGUGAAGAAGGCCUUCGGGUCGUAAAGCACUUUUUUCAGGAAAGAAAACCUUGGCCCUAAUACGGUCGGGGGAUGACGGUACCGGAAGAAUAAGCACCGGCUAACUACGUG
rnacentral:rRNA from 1 species